AACGAACGCUGGCGGCAGGCCUAACACAUGCAAGUCGAGGGAGAAGCUGACUUCGGUCAGUGGACACCGGCGCACGGGUGCGUAACACGUGGGAACGUACCCUCAGGUACGGGAUAACAUGGGGAAACUCAUGCUAAUACCGUAUAAUAUCUCCGGAUCAAAGCUCCGGCGCCUGAGGAUCGGCCCGCGCCUGAUUAGCUAGUUGGUGAGGUAAGAGCUCACCAAGGCGACGAUCAGUAGCUGGUCUGAGAGGAUGAUCAGCCACACUGGGACUGAGACACGGCCCAGACUCCUACGGGAGGCAGCAGUGAGGAAUAUUGGACAAUGGGCGCAAGCCUGAUCCAGCCAUGCCGCGUGAGUGAAGAAGGCCUUCGGGUUGUAAGCUCUUUCAGAUGUGAAGAUGAUGACGGUAGCAUCAGAAGAAGCCCCGGCGUAACUUCGUGCCAGCAGCCGCGGUAAUACGAAGGGGAC
rnacentral:rRNA from 1 species